CACAGUUUUCCAGAGUCAUAUGACCCUUUUCUAUCCAAUAAAAAAUGUCCUGGAAAGCUCUCCUUUCAUGAUAAGAUUGGCAUAAGAGGAGAGUUACCUGGUGCUGCUUCUUUCCCUGUCUGAAACAUGGAUGAGAUGGCUGGAGCCACAGCAGCCACCCUGCAACAGAAGGCCACCAGCAUGAAGGUGAUUGGCGUCUCUUUCCAUUCAAAAUUAGAGAAAAUACCAAAGCUCAGCAGUGAUCUUCCUUCUAGAGGCUUGUUGGAACUCCAAACACAUACCCCUGACAGAUACAACAGGGAUUAAUGAGCCAUGACCAGAAGUUUGAUUUUUCUGUCGAGUGCUCCCAUCCGUCUUUAAUAAACAGAAGAACAACAUAAACUCCAUUGCCUGCUUUCCACUGCUGAAACUGAGCUGGCUGUUCCUGGUACCAUGUGUGUUGAGCUGAGUUAUGAUUCUAAAUGACUCGACAAACGCUUUUACAAGCCCCUUUGGUCUGCUACUCUGGUGACUGGCUUUGCUCUCCAAGUUCCAUUUCUUUGCCUCUGUUUAACGUGGGCAGCUCAGUGCUUUGCCAGUGGAAACCAUCAAAUAAGGCUGUCUCCUGCGAGGACCAGAAGUUGAGCCAAGGCACAUGGAACUUACAAUAGCAGAUGGUAAGAACCAGGGCAGAAGGAGAACUCCUGAAGCCUCCGAAGGAAGGAAAUCAUUACAGGGCCCUACAGAAGUAGGUCAUGUGCUACAGCUGCUCAUAGUUUAAGAGGAAGAAACAUGGGAUCUCAAACCUGGAACACGACUCUUUCAAAAUGCUUGUGAGCAACCCAAGAAAAACAUCCUCCUGAGGCUUAUCUAAUAACCAUGAUCUCUAAUCGUCUCAAUGUGUGCUCAUGUUUCCUUAGGAGUUUGCACCCACUUCUCAGAGCUAACGAGAUGCCGAAACAGAACACAGAAAAAAGUAAUGAAGGAGAUUUAAUAGUUUGUGUUAAAGCUAAUAUGGUCCAUUAGGGGCUGUCAUUUUUAUAAACAGUGAGGAUACGUUACCCUCUUCUUUGGUGUAAAGUCAUUCCGUGCAGGACCUGUAAACAUUCAGUAAUGAUCUGUAGAACAUGCAUGAACGACAAUUAAAGCACCACUUGAAAAGUCUGUUUUCCUCACAUAUUUGUUUUCUUGCUAAAUAAACUUGUAAAGUUCAUACAUGUGUACGCAUAUGCUUACAUUAUAAAAAAAGUGUGCAUUUCAUUAAGAACAUCUACGAACAGAUAUAAGUGUUUUUGGUUCCCAUUAGCUUGAGAAAUAUCAGAAGUGAUUAGUUAAAUGAGGAGCAUAGGUUCUGUUUUUUAGUGCAUACUAUAAUAAUAAAACAACCACUCUUUUAUGGUAGCUUAGCAAGACAAAAUUAUAGUUCACAAUGUCAUGAAAGGCAUGAUUACAACCUUUGAAAGUUACAAGUAAAAAAGCUUCUAUAAAACCUAUCUGUUGCCAAAAAAUUAUGUUCUACAGUGAUUCAGAUAUAUUUCUGAAAUUUAUUUUUUAAUUGUGGCUGAUACCAA
rnacentral:lncRNA from 10 species